AGUGAACGCUGGCGGUAGGCCUAACACAUGCAAGUCGAACGGCAGCACAGUAAGAGCUUGCUCUUACGGGUGGCGAGUGGCGGACGGGUGAGGAAUACAUCGGAAUCUACUUUUUCGUGGGGGAUAACGUAGGGAAACUUACGCUAAUACCGCAUACGACCUACGGGUGAAAGCAGGGGAUCUUCGGACCUUGCGCGAUUGAAUGAGCCGAUGUCGGAUUAGCUAGUUGGCGGGGUAAAGGCCCACCAAGGCGACGAUCCGUAGCUGGUCUGAGAGGAUGGUCAGCCACACUGGAACUGAGACACGGUCCAGACUCCUACGGGAGGCAGCAGUGGGGAAUAUUGGACAAUGGGCGCAAGCCUGAUCCAGCCAUACCGCGUGGGUGAAGAAGGCCUUCGGGUUGUAAAGCCCUUUUGUUGGUAAAGAAAAGCAGCAGGUUAAUACCCCGCUGUUCUGACGGUACCCAAAGAAUAAGCACCGGCUAACUUCGUG
rnacentral:rRNA from 1 species